GUCUUGCACUUCUUCAGCCACAAUUGAAACAUAACUCACAAGGUCUCUAUGGUCAUCCCCUUUGGUUCAACAAUACCACUCUCCUCCCUAUCUCUGAUUAGAUAACCAAGAGCUAAUGUUGACUGUCUACCACUAUGGAAGACUCCACCUCAAACUGAGUUUCCACCAAAGUAUAGCCACCAUGAUCUCCACCUUGUAACACGCAAGACCUCUUCAACUCCUCUGAAACAUACUUCGAGCUAUUGUUAGUCUCCAACAAUUCCAGUUCAGUUCAACACCUAGUAAACCUUGUUCACUAGUCCAACUAAACUCAUGUCACUAACAGGUCCACCCGAAGUCCCACAACUCAACCACAUUAUGAGAGUCACCACUAGUUAUAGAUGCAUGACAAACUAUCUUUGCAUCUAAGUUCAGAAACAUACCUCACAUCGUGUAAAGAAACUCACGAUUGUCAAACUUCGUAAGACAAACUGAACCCAUACCUUGAACCUUAAAGCUUUCCNNNNNNNNNNNNNNNNNNNNNNNNNNNNNNNNNNNNNUUUGACCACAUGUGAUUGGAGCAUCAAAAUUCCAUGACCCAAAUACUCCACCGGUUCCCAACUUCCACUAGCACUUCUACAUAAUAAUAAAGUUGUUGUUUCAGAAGUAACCCCUGAGUAUUAUUACCACCGCCUCUCCAGGCCGACCAUCUUCGCAAUCUCCAUUAACCUUUUAUCUUUGAGGCACCGGAUAACAACACUCCAUGUUUUUACCCAUCAUCCCGAACAUUAAAAUUGCUUCCAUCUUCGCUUUCCACAAUUCCAAAUUGCUUUCGGAAAGUCCCUCGAUAUCCGACUUAGAACCCAUGGUGCUCACUUCAAAUUGUUCCGAUUGCCCCACGGUGGGCGCC
rnacentral:lncRNA from 1 species